CUCCCCUCAGCGCCGCCCGCACUGCCGAGGGGCGGCCCGGCGGCCCCUGCGCACGCUCCCUCCCCGCCGCCCGCCCACGAGGCGCCCUCCUCGCCGGGAAGGCACUGACGAGUCAUCGCCCCGCCGCCCGCAGGCCCCGCCGGCACGGCGGGACGGAGCCGCGAGGAGCGAGCGGGGCGAGCCUACAGGUGGGGAUGUUCCUGACAUUGCUGCAGGAGCUGAAGAGUAACCGAGCCUGAAAAUGCAGUAGGAUGAUCGGUGGAUGGAAAAUGAGCAUUUGCCCACUGCCAAACAACAAUAAAAGUGUGAAUAAUCAUCCUGGUUUAAGUUCAUAGUGUCCUGUGUAUCACAGAGUCUAUCACUGGUGGUGACAAAACAAGCUUUAUCCUUUACAUCGUUUUAGUCAUUUUAUUAUACAUUCAUUUAUUUUCUUGCAUACUUUUAAGUAUUUUUUGUGAUAUUUUCUCUCUUCUAAUUGUACUUAAUGUUAUCUCUUAGUACAAAUGCAAACCCUAUUUUUCAGAAAAAAGAGUAGUGUGAAGAAACCUUUUACUUCAACACGUAGAGUUUGCAAGCAGAGUUUGCAGGUAGACUUGAGAUGUUGAACUGCAGAACUACUAACAAUUUUGCACCACUUUUGGGGGGGUACAGCUGGAAGUAGGUGACAGACACAUGGUGGUCCUCAGAACAUUGUCAGGGCUGAGGGCUGUAGUGGAAAUGCUAAGUCACAACUUGAACCAGUGAUUGAGCACCUGGUGGGAAGGCAGGGCCAACCCAGAGGAGCUCAGGUGCAAGCAAUGCAUCUGAAUGACUGGAAGGGGCUGGAGCCAGGAUCCACCCAUUCUGAGACCUCAUUUAAGGGUUGGCAGUGGAGGUAAGGGUGUCUCUCUGGGGAUGCCUGGGUACUUGAGGCCUUUUGAAGGUGGCAGUGUCUUUCUUUUGUGUCUGCUGCUGUUGUGUUUGAGUGAACUCUCAUUUGCUGCUGUCUGGGAUCUUGCUGUUGUGCUGUUAUUGUUGUGCUUUCCAUUGCAUUAUAAAGGCUUUCAAACUAUAGCCUAGAUCACUGGGGAGUGGGUGAUGCUAGGCUUUCUAUGAAUGUGUACAUUUUUUGGAAUAAUACAGACGUGUUUGGUAUCAGAUGUCUUGUUUGAUCUGCUAGGUUUGAGAAUAAGUACUUCACAAAUAACUAUUUUAAUUUCUCCACUAUCUUUCUGUUAUCGUGGAAGCUUUGUUACUAAGAGUUGACUUGGCAAAGGAAUUGUUCUUGAGUUAGGCUGUGGUCCUGCAACCUUGCACCACACAGGAUGUUGUUGGGAAUAAUACUGUGAAAGUGAGUAUAAGUCUCUGUGAUCAAGGCAUAGAGCAACAAGUGGUGUGUGAGGAAGCAGAAUUAACAUGGUAAGGAGCAUUUUUCCCAAGAAACUGCUGUACUGGAAGCUAACUGGUUUAGUAAAACACAUAGGCCUUUUUAAAAGUGCUGUUGUUAAGUAUGGAUCCUCUGCACUGUUAAAGAGAUCAGGACUGCGGAUGUUGUACUUUUCUUUGCCCAUUAACAUCAACUGUCUCAGUGUAGAUCAACCAUUGUAAAUCAAAGAAAAUUCCUGAUGCAGAAAAUCAAGAUUAAUUCGAAUGUAUAUGACAUAUAAGAAUUUCAUGGGGCUGAACUACCAUGUUCAACAGAUGCAUGGAUAAGUCUCUUAUGAAACAAUACUGUGAUGGGCAUUAGGUUGAUAUCAACAACUUUUACUAGCUAUUAAUGGAACGCUUGCCACCUACAAAGAAGUCAAAGUAGGCUUGUAGCAAUCAAGUAACCAUAGAAUGGUUUGGGUUGGAAGGGACCUUUAAGAUUGUCUAGUUCCAACCCCCCUGCUAUAGGCAGGGAUAAUAAACAUCCAUGGUUAACCACCUGCUUAUAAUAGAGAAUAUCAUGAUUGCUUUCUGAUGUGUGAACUUAGUCAGAUAGCUACAGGUCUCUUUUUCAUUCUUUGUUUGUUAAAUUAUCUGGAUUUUCAAGACCUUUUGAGCUAGGGAGAGUACUUAGCUCUUGUGGCAGUUGAGCUGGAAAGUCAGGAGCUACUCAGUAUCCCGUAGAGUAAAGAUUCAAGCAGGUAUAUUUUUCUGUAAUCGUUCCUCCUACUCUAUAGGGCCUGAAUUUGUAGAUACUCAACUUUAAUGCCUUCGCUAGAAGUUGAUAGUUAAGCCAAUUCAUUUUUUUUCCCCUGUGAUUUAAGCAUUUGGAACACUUUAUGUUGGUGGUGGUUGUUGUUGGUUUGUUUUUUUUUUUUUUUUAAUUCUGGGAAGUCAGGAAGGUUUUCUUCCUAGUACAGUUGAGGGCCCUCUGCCCCUGAUUACAGUGUCAGGAAAAGAGUUUCAUGAUAUAGGCAUGAACAAUGAAGAGUGUUCUACCUUCACCUCUUCUCACCCGAGGUUUGCUGAUUUUUUUUUUUUCUGUCGCUAUUAAUGUACUACAAACAAGGGAAAUACAUUAUGUUCUGGUAAUAAAUAGUUUUUGUACAUCAAACUA